GAGUUUGAUCCUGGCUCAGAUUGAACGCUGGCGGCAGGCCUAACACAUGCAAGUCGAGCGGAUGACGGGAGCUUGCUCCUUGAUUCAGCGGCGGACGGGUGAGUAAUGCCUGGGAAUCUGCCUGGUAGUGGGGGACAACGUUUCGAAAGGAACGCUAAUACCGCAUACGUCCUACGGGAGAAAGCAGGGGACCUUCGGGCCUUGCGCUAUCAGAUGAGCCUAGGUCGGAUUAGCUAGUUGGUGGGGUAAUGGCUCACCAAGGCGACGAUCCGUAACUGGUCUGAGAGGAUGAUCAGUCACACUGGAACUGAGACACGGUCCAGACUCCUACGGGAGGCAGCAGUGGGGAAUAUUGGACAAUGGGCGAAAGCCUGAUCCAGCCAGUGCCGCGUGUGUGAAGAAGGUCUUCGGGAUUGUAAAGCACUUUAAGUUGGGAGGAAGGGCAGUAAGUUAAUACCUUGCUGUUUUGACGUUACGACAGAAUAAGCA
rnacentral:rRNA from 1 species